rnacentral:rRNA from 1 species
CAGUAGCCACGGUAAAACGAGGGGUGCAAGCGUUAUUCGGAUUGAUUGGGUGUAAAGGGUGUGCAGACGGCUUAUUAAGUCACUUGUUAAAUUCUUCGGCCUAACUGAAGGUCUGCAAGUGAUACUGAUGAGCUAGAGGGUGGAAGAGAGAAGUGGAAUUCUCGGAGUAGCGGUAAAAUGCGUAGAUCUCGAGAGGAACACCAAUGGCGAAGGCAGCUUCUUGGUCCAUUCCUGACGUUCAUACACGAAAGCGUGGGGAGCAAACGGGAUUAGAGACCCCAGUAGUCCCUGUCUCUUAUAA